GCUAGCAGGCGGACCCUGCUUGUGUCCGUCCCGAGUUGCCGUGCCGACGGGGCCAGCGGUGGGGCUGUGCAGACCCUGAGUACCUCCUGGAAUAUGCUUUAAAGUUCCACCAACUGUUCACAGAAACACGAGUAUGGGGCAGAGGGAGCGCCAGAACUAAAGAAAAAUGAAGAUGCAGCAGAAGUGAACAACGCACAUGGGGAGAGAGUCACAAUACAAAGAAUCUAAAUGAACCUUAUAAAAGACAUUGUGGCUCAAGAGGAAACUAUGAAUUAGCAAUACUUUGUCACAUGUCAUGUAAUCCUCUGCGCUGACCAGCAGAGAGCAGUAACAACCAGGCCAUUACUCCUGCUCUGCACUGGUGUCAUCCGAGAGCCUCUAAGUGCUGUCAUUUUCUGAUGAACUUCUGAUGAGAGAAAUACUUAAAUUUACCUCCUGUCGUGGUCAAAUUCUGGUUUUGAAUCUUUACAGAAGUGGAAAAGCCCUUCAUGAAAUGAAAAGCAUAACACACAGAUGCAAGAGAAAACUGAAUUUUGCAUCCAAAUGUGCCAAAAAAACCUUACAUGGUCACAUACAAGCAUGAUAAAUACCCAUGGCACAAUCUGAGCUGCCACACACUGUAAACAUCAUGUGUAGAUAUGCAGACAUUUAAUAUAUUUAACAUUACCUUCACUAUGUUUUCAUCUAUGACUCAGUUUCUGCACUUCCAUCGGAAUCAGACAUGUUUUAACCUUGAAGUAGAGUCAUGUAAAACAAACAGCCCUAAGGACACGUUUCACAUUUGGGAGAAAAUGCAAACAUCAAAACAACUUUUUUAUUGUACUAUUAACUGACCAUAAAGCAACUGACCAUGUUUUCCUCAUGACCGCCAUUUUGCCUUUGAUGUACUGGCUGUAAAUCUGCUGAUGUCUGGCAGUAGGCUUUCCUUAUCACCCCGGCCAUCUGAACAUCACAUGAAAAAACUGAAAAACACAGUUAAGUUUGUCCUUGUUUUCACACAUCUGACAGAAACUACCAAGCGAACAUCAGCUGUCAAGGAAGACUGACAUUUUCUAUCAUAAUUUGCAGUUGUGGUGCAGUUUUGUGAAUGUGUAACAGCCGGCAGCUAAUUGAUUGAAACUUUCUUGUCACAGCGGAAGACAAACCUGCCACAUGUACACAUGCAAACAAAUGAGACGCUGUGAUUGGCUCAAACUGAUUUUCUUUAGCUUUUGUGUUGCAGUUAGUCAAACGGUACGACCUUGACAACUGUCAGAGGCAAGAAACAUGAUUGCUGUGUAUGUGUUUGUGUGUUAAUGAGUGUGUAUGCGUGACACUGUAUACCAAAAGAGCCACGAGUGUAAAUACAAAUGGACAAGCAAGAGAGGAGAAUAAGUGAUGUGACGUGACUCCCUCUGUGUCAGACUGUGCAGAGGAAAGAACAGAAUACAAGGACAGCAGCUUUCCACUUUAUACACACAUUUCACUUCCUUCUUUUUGAGCAUUGAUCUUCAGCUCUUCUCAUUUGCCCUCCAUCUCCUUUUCAUCCUUUCUGUUUUUACUUUUUACUGGCUCUCCUGCUCUCAUUGUAAAAAUAAAAACUUUGUUGCUGUGACUGUCAA